AGAUGUUCUGAAAGAUAUUGCUGUUGCUGCUGAAAAAGAGGACGAGUUUGCCUUUACGUGGGAUGUCAACAGGAACAAGGGAGAAGAGAUUGUUGCUGAUCCAGCGGCACCAAACUUGGAGCACGGUGAAAACGAAGAGCAUGAAGAUCGAGCUCCAAGAAAACAAACGCGAAGAAUUCAAGGUCAGCCCAAUAUCUCUAUUCUAGUUUUUUGGGAUCAGUUUUUGGAGGAAGGUUCUAGCGAUGGAAGUGUAAAUAUCUGUCUCAAAGGAUCACUGCACAGAGCUUCUUGUUUACAAGCUUUCCAUCAAAACAAAAGAUGGAAAAGUUAGAUUGUA